GAGUUUGAUCGUGGCUCAGGAUGAACGCUGGCGGCGUGCCUAAUACAUGCAAGUCGAGCGAACAGACGAGGAGCUUGCUCCUCUGACGUUAGCGGCGGACGGGUGAGUAACACGUGGAUAACCUACCUAUAAGGACUGGGAUAACUUCGGGAAACCGGAGCUAAUACCGGAUAAUAUAUUGAACCGCAUGGUUCAAUAGUGAAAGACGGUUUUGCUGUCACUUAUAGAUGGAUCCGCGCCGCAUUAGCUAGUUGGUAAGGUAACGGCUUACCAAGGCAACGAUGCGUAGCCGACCUGAGAGGGUGAUCGGCCACACUGGAACUGAGACACGGUCCAGACUCCUACGGGAGGCAGCAGUAGGGAAUCUUCCGCAAUGGGCGAAAGCCUGACGGAGCAACGCCGCGUGAGUGAUGAAGGUCUUCGGAUCGUAAAACUCUGUUAUUAGGGAAGAACAAAUGUGUAAGUAACUAUGCACGUCUUGACGGUACCUAAUCAGAAAGCCACGGCUAACUACGUGACAG
rnacentral:rRNA from 1 species